rnacentral:rRNA from 1 species
UGCUACAAUGGGUAGUACAGAGGGUUGCCAAGCCGUAAGGUGGAGCUAAUCCCUUAAAGCUACUCUCAGUUCGGAUUGUAGGCUGAAACUCGCCUACAUGAAGCUGGAGUUACUAGUAAUCGCAGAUUAGAAUGCUGCGGUGAAUGCGUUCCCGGGUCUUGUACACACCGCCCGUCACACCACGGGAGUUGGAGACGCCCGAAGCCGAUUAUCUAACCUUUUGGAAGAAGUCGUCGAAGGUGGAAUCAAUAACUGGGGUGAAGUCGUAACAAGGUAGCCGUAUCGGAAGGUGCGGCUGGAUCACCUCCUUUCUAAGGAGA